AUGGUUUUCUACUUUCUAUCAUGUCAUGGAUAUCAUGCGCUGCUUGUCCUUGGGAAGGAUAUACCCUCGAAAUAUGUGUGUAUACACAUUUUCCCUUCCAUUGUUCUGUUUAAACCUGAUAACCCCUUUUCCUUUCCAUUGGUUUGUUUAAACCUUCUUGUGAUCUAUAUUAUAAAAGCAGUAAUAUUUCCCUGCUUAUGUAAACACCUCGUUGUACAAUUCUGUCAGCAAGACCCUGUUACUAUUGUUGAUGAUAUUCUGGUAACCACUGAUGGACGAGAACUUUGCCUAUUGGUCCGCCUCGUUUCGACGGGCAGGAAAAUUGUUCUCUUCGUCCCUCGCCCUUGGUAUCGAUGUUGUUGCCGACAUAAAUGA
rnacentral:rRNA from 1 species